rnacentral:rRNA from 1 species
UGGGGGAUAUUGCACAAUGGGCGAAAGCCUGAUGCAGCAACGCCGCGUGAGGGAAGACGGUUUUCGGAUUGUAAACCUCUGUCUUCGGUGAAGAAAAAAAUGACGGUAGCCGAGGAGGAAGCCACGGCUAACUACGUGCCAGCAGCCGCGGUAAUACGUAGGUGGCGAGCGUUGUCCGGAAUUACUGGGUGUAAAGGGAGCGCAGGCGGGGAGACAAGUCAGCUGUGAAAACUAUGGGCUUAACCCAUAAACUGCAGUUGAAACUGUUUUUCUUGAGUGGAGUAGAGGUAGGCGGAAUUCCGAGUGUAGCGGUGAAAUGCGUAGAUAUGCGGAGGAACACCAGUGGCGAAAGCGGCCUCCUGGCCCAUUUCUGACGCUCAGACACGAAAGCUAAGGUAGCAAACG